CCGGGCAACGCAGGGCAUCUCGCUUUCUAACAGAAAGGGAUUUAGGAUUGAAAACCUAAAUUACGGAAAGUGCAACAGAAAAUAUACCGCUUCGGCAUAGGUUGAAGUAAGGGUGAAAACGUGCGGUAAGAGCGCACGACAGUGGCUAGCGAUAGCCGUUGAUUGUAAACCCCGGGAGUUGAAAAACCAAAUAGGCUGACGCAUGUAGGGCUGCCCGUCCGAUGUUAGUGGGUAGGUUGUUGGAGGUUGGUGGCAACACCAGAUCCUAGAUAAAUGAUAGAAAACUUUGCGAAAGCAAAGACACAGAACCCGGCUUAUAGGCCUGCAUUUUUU
rnacentral:RNase_P_RNA from 1 species